GCUAGUUGUACGAAAGUUUCCAGUGGAUGGAUGUGUCACAGAGAAAGGGGCACUGGUACAACCUUGGUGUAUGACAUGAGUAUCUGGAAUACCUGCUCAGUUCUCAAGAAAUUGUAGAAUGUGCUGGACUGCAAAAUCCUGAGAUGGGGCUGUACUGGUGAGAACGAUCUGGGAUCUAUUCUUCUCUCCCUUAGAAGCAGAAUGUUCCUCCAGGUUUUAGCAGCAUGUCAUGUCGCCCCUGAUGUAUGUCACCCUUGGGUUUGCCCUUCAUGAUCCCUCAGCUGCAGUGCAAGUGGGGCACUCACAGUCAAGACUCCAACCACACUAAGCUGCUUUCCUCAGCCUUGGGAGACCAGCUCACAAUAAAUCCUAAGCCUCCGUUGUCCCUUGCUAUCUACUUAUAAGUAAUACAUCCACUUUGUGUAACUUGUACGCACUGGUGUUGUGUCUCACCAGAUUCACACGAGUUUGUAAUCAGUGCAUCGUGAAUCGACUUCAUAUAUAAAUAAGCUAUCUAAAAUAAAUUUAUAAUAACUCAUGCAUAAUAAAGUAUAAUUUACUUUUUCA
rnacentral:lncRNA from 10 species